GAGCAAGCCAUGGAGAGCAAGCCAGUAAGCAGCAUUCUUCCAUGGUCUCUGCUUCAACUCCUGCCUCCAGGUCCCUGCCU
ensembl:miRNA